rnacentral:lncRNA from 1 species
UGGGGUGCAGGAUGGAUGGAUGCCACUUAUGAUUUUGACUAAACCCUAAACCGACUUAAUAUUAGGGGUAUUUCUCCAAUGUUUCCCCCGUGCGGUGAAAAAAGAAACAUUGUAGACUUUGCAUAUGUUGACAUCCACGGUAUCCAUGGAGUGGUUUGCAGGUGAGGUUGCCUACAUCAUUAUCCACAUGAUGACUAGCGAUUCACUUUCUCCUCGCCUCUCAACCUACUCCCCACCU